CCUACGGGGGGCAGCAGUGGGGAAUAUUGGACAAUGGGCGAAAGCCUGAUCCAGCCAUGCCGCGUGUGUGAAGAAGGCCUUCGGGUUGUAAAGCACUUUCAGUGGGGAAGAAAGCCUUGGGGCUAAUACCCUCGAGGAAGGACAUCACCCACAGAAGAAGCACCGGCUAACUCCGUGCCAGCAGCCGCGGUAAUACGGAGGGUGCGAGCGUUAAUCGGAAUUACUGGGCGUAAAGCGCGCGUAGGCGGUCUGAUAAGCCGGUUGUGAAAGCCCCGGGCUCAACCUGGGAACGGCAUCCGGAACUGUCAGGCUAGAGUGCAGGAGAGGAAGGUAGAAUUCCCGGUGUAGCGGUGAAAUGCGUAGAGAUCGGGAGGAAUACCAGUGGCGAAGGCGGCCUUCUGGACUGACACUGACGCUGAGGUGCGAAAGCGUGGGUAGCAAACAGGAUUAGAUACCCCUGUAUUC
rnacentral:rRNA from 1 species